UUUUUUUCUUCGAGAGGAACCGAACAGACCUCUUAGUCUCCUCUCCUUCCUAUCUUCGAUUCUUCUUCAAUUAGGUUUAAUUAAUCCGGAAUUUUCUAUAACAUCUUUAUCGAUUUGCAGAGAAAGAUUUAGUUUCAGAAAAUGGUGAAGUGAAGAAUAUACCUUGAACGAGAUUUAGUUGCAGUUGACUUGAUUGAUAAACAAGUGAGAUGCGGCAGAAAUCUUGCAGGAAAUUCCAGACAUAUCUAUCAUGGAUUGAAUAAACUAGUACUCGAAUCCAAGGUCUCUUUUUCAGUUUUUGGCAUCAGAGAUUCAUAUGGCUUUGCACCAGACUUGUUGCAUUUGAAUUAGUACUCUUUUGUGUUAACUGUUAACUAUCUUAUGUCCUUUGUUGCUUUUGAAUUACUGAAUUAGUACUCUUUUGUGUUAAAAAUCAUAAGCCGAAGGAACCAAUGUCACAAACAGCAGUUUGUAACUUUUGAAUUAGGAACCAAUGUAACUGUUAACUAUCUUAUGUCUGUACUCUAGUUUGUAA